rnacentral:rRNA from 1 species
GCACCCGCGGUAAUUCCAGCUCCAAUAGCGUAUAUUAAAGUUGUUGCGGUUAAAAAGCUCGUAGUUGGAUUUCUGCCGAGGACGACCGGUCUGCCCUCUGGGUGCGUAUCUGGCUCGGCCUGGGCAUCUUCUUGGAGAACGUAUCUGCACUUGACUGUGUGGUGCGGUAUCCAGGACUUUUACUUUGAGGAGAUUAGAGUGUUUCAAGCAGGCACACGCCUUGAAUACAUUAGCAUGGAAUAAUAAGAUAGGACCUCGGUUCUAUUUUGUUGAUUUCUAGAGCUGAGGUAAUGAUUAAUAGGGAUAGUUGGGGGCAUUCGUAUUUAACUGUCAGAGGUGAAAUUCUUGGAUUUGUUAAAGACGGACCACUGCGAAAGCAUUUGCCAAGGAUGUUUUCAUUGAUCAAGAACGAAAGU